rnacentral:rRNA from 1 species
GAUGAACGCUGACAGAAUGCUUAACACAUGCAAGUCAACUGUGGCGGUCGGGUGAGUAACGCGUAAAGAACUUGCCUCACAGAUAGGGACAACAUUUGGAAACGAAUGCUAAUACCUGAACCUGUGAGAGAGCUUUGCGUCCCAUUAGCUAGUUGGAGAGGUAACGGCUCACCAAGGCGAUGAUGGGUAGCCGGCCUGAGAGGGUGAUCGGCCACAAGGGGACUGGGGAACGGCCAUUACUGCAUCGUGAGGCAGGAGUGGGGAAUAGUGGACGACGGACCGAAGUCUGAUGCAGCAAUUCUGUGUGCACAAUGAAGUUUUCGGAAGGUAAAGUGCUUGCAGUUGGGACGCGGUACCAGCAGAAGAAGUGACGGCUAAAUACGUGCCAGCAGCCGCGGUAAUUC